rnacentral:rRNA from 1 species
GCAAUCUACCUUUUACAGAGGGAUAGCCCAGAGAAAUUUGGAUUAAUACCUCAUAGUAUAUAGAAGUGGCAUCACUUUUAUAUUAAAGUCACAACGGUGAAAGAUGAGCAUGCGUCCCAUUAGCUAGUUGGUAAGGUAACGGCUUACCAAGGCAACGAUGGGUAGGGGUCCUGAGAGGGAGAUCC